rnacentral:rRNA from 1 species
GAUGAACGCUGGCGGCGUGCCUAAUACAUGCAAGUCGAGCGAACGGACGAGGAGCUUGCUUCUCUGAUGUUAGCGGCGGACGGGUGAGUAACAUGUGGAUAACCUACCUAUAAGACUGGGAUAACUUCGGGAAACCGGAGCUAAUACCGGAUAAUAUUUUGAACCGCAUGGUUCAAAAGUGAAAGACGGUCUUGCUGUCACUUAUAGAUGGAUCCGCGCUGCAUUAGCUAGUUGGUAAGGUAACGGCUUACCAAGGCAACGAUGCGUAGCCGACCUGAGAGGGUGAUCGGCCACACUGGAACUGAGACACGGUCCAGACUCCUACGGGAGGCAGCAGUAGGGAAUCUUCCGCAAUGGGCGAAAGCCUGACGGAGCAACGCCGCGUGAGUGAUGAAGGUCUUCGGAUCGUAAAACUCUGUUAUUAGGGAAGAACAUAUGUGUAAGUAACUGUGCACAUCUUGACGGUACCUAAUCAGAAAGCCACGGCUAACUACGUG